rnacentral:rRNA from 1 species
GGUAGUGCGUGCUUAUUAUUACAUGCAGUCGAGCGAAUGGAUUAAGAGCUUGCUCUUAUGAAGUUAGCGGCGGACGGGUGAGUAACACGUGGGUAACCUGCCCAUAAGACUGGGAUAACUCCGGGAAACCGGGGCUAAUACCGGAUAACAUUUUGAACCGCAUGGUUCGAAAUUGAAAGGCGGCUUCGGCUGUCACUUAUGGAUGGACCCGCGUCGCAUUAGCUAGUUGGUGAGGUAACGGCUCACCAAGGCAACGAUGCGUAGCCGACCUGAGAGGGUGAUCGGCCACACUGGGACUGAGACACGGCCCAGACUCCUACGGGAGGCAGCAGUAGGGAAUCUUCCGCAAUGGACGAAAGUCUGACGGAGCAACGCCGCGUGAGUGAUGAAGGCUUUCGGGUCGUAAAACUCUGUUGUUAGGGAAGAACAAGUGCUAGUUGAAUAAGCUGGCACCUUGACGGUACCUAACCAGAAAGCCACGGCUAACUACGUGCCAGCAGCCGCGGUAAUACGUAGGUGGCAAGCGUUAUCCGGAAUUAUUGGGCGUAAAGCGCGCGCAGGUGGUUUCUUAAGUCUGAUGUGAAAGCCCACGGCUCAACCGUGGAGGGUCAUUGGAAACUGGGAGACUUGAGUGCAGAAGAGGAAAGUGGAAUUCCAUGUGUAGCGGUGAAAUGCGUAGAGAUAUGGAGGAACACCAGUGGCGAAGGCGACUUUCUGGUCUGUAACUGACACUGAGGCGCGAAAGCGUGGGGAGCAAACAGGAUUAGAUAC